CGAAAGCCUGACGGAGCAAUACCGCGUGAGGGAAGAAGGCUCUUGGGUCGUAAACCUCUUUUAUCAGGGAAGAAUGACGGUACCUGAAGAAUCAGCCUCGGCUAACUCCGUGCCAGCAGCCGCGGUAAUACGGAGGAGGCAAGCGUUAUCCGGAAUUAUUGGGCGUAAAGCGUCCGCAGGUGGCUUAUCAAGUCUGCUGUCAAAGAGUGGGGCUUAACCCCAUAAAGGCAGUGGAAACUGAGAAGCUAGAGUGCCGUAGGGGUAGAGGGAAUUCCCGGUGUAGCGGUGAAAUGCGUAGAGAUCGGGAAGAACAUCGGUGGCGAAAGCGCUCUACUGGACGGCAACUGACACUCAGGGACGAAAGCUAGGGGAGCGAAUGGGAUU
rnacentral:rRNA from 1 species